GAUGAACGCUGGCGGCGUGCCUAAUACAUGCAAGUCGAGCGAACAGACGAGGAGCUUGCUCCUCUGACGUUAGCGGCGGACGGGUGAGUAACACGUGGAUAACCUACCUAUAAGACUGGGAUAACUUCGGGAAACCGGAGCUAAUACCGGAUAAUAUAUUGAACCGCAUGGUUCAAUAGUGAAAGACGGUUUUGCUGUCACUUAUAGAUGGAUCCGCGCCGCAUUAGCUAGUUGGUAAGGUAACGGCUUACCAAGGCAACGAUGCGUAGCCGACCUGAGAGGGUGAACCGCCCACACGGAACCGGAGCACCGUCCAAACUCCUAAGGGAGGGAGCAGGUGGGAAAUUUUCGCAAUGGGGGGAAGCCUGACGGAGCAACGCCGCGUGAGUGAUGAAGGUCUUCGGAUCGUAAAACUCUGUUAUUAGGGAAGAACAAAUGUGUAAGUAACUAUGCACGUCUUGACGGUACCUAAUCAGAAAGCCACGGCUAACUACGUG
rnacentral:rRNA from 1 species